UACCGUUUUAGUUAACUAAAGGAAAUGAAAUGGCAAUCAGCCAAUUCCUUCAAUCAACUGAAGCAAAUCCCUAGCCUUUCCCUUAUUCUAUCUGUCGGUUCAUUUUCACAUAAUGCUUUCAAUUUUGGAGGAACCUUUAAGCCUUGGAAUCUCUGUUGAUUAGAUUUCAACAAAACAAAGAGAAGAAAUCCAUGACAUAUUCUCACGGUGUGUAUGGCGUGGAGGAGUUGUUCAUGGAGCAUGGCACGAGUGGAAGAAUCGGUGGCUGAAGCUUCUAGGGUUUCUACCGAAAAUUCCAUAGGUAUUUUGGGCUUAGGGUAUUUUGGGUUAUUUAGGCUAGUUGGGUUAAGUUUAAUAAUUUGAGCCCGUUAUUUUGGUUGCUGGGCUAUGUAAGAAAUGGACAUUAGAUUGUUAUUAUUAUUAUUAUUUAUUAUUUUUUUAUAUUUUGAUUUGUUUUCUUAGUUUUUGUGUAAGCCCAGGCACAAAUUGGGUCUUACAGGGACCAAAUUGAAUAAGUGAAGAAAUAUGAAGGAUUAAAUCGUAAUUUUAUCAAAA